CCCGAGGACAAGACGUACAGGCAUAGAAGCAUCAUUUUUGUGAGGCCAGCUGAAGAGUGCAAUAGAACAAGACUUCUGGCAACCCAGGUACUGCAAAUAUACAAGUUGAAUAGUCAUCUGAAAAGAGGGGGAUCCAGGACAGGCAGUGAAAGCUGUAGACUUGGGGAUAAUAUAGCUCCUGGCCUGCAGCCUUGCCGCUGCUUCACUCCUGAGGGAUUCCUCCUCUGCUGAUGCUGUUCCUGCUGUUUAAAGUCCACAAGUCCACCUCCAUUAUUUAGCUCUGGUACAACAGCCCAAGGAAGAGCUGAGCUCCUUGGAGAGCAUCAUGAGAACUCCUACUUUUGGCAAAGCCAUUCUGUUCAGGACAGAGACAGCGGCUGAGCAUGAGAAGGUGGGGAGGAAGUCUGUGUUUGUGUCUGAGAAGAGAGAAACUCCCAGGGAGCUGGGAUUAACAUAUCCUGAGGUGUCAGAUCAAAACAGUGGUAUUCUGGCUCAUCAGGAA